GACGAACGCUGGCGGCGUGCCUAAUACAUGCAAGUCGAACGCAGUGGGGACGGGUGAGUAACACGUGGGUAACCUCCCAUCAGAGGGGAUAACACUUGGCAACAGGUGCUAACCCGAUAUUGAUUGAUGGACCCGCGGUGCAUUAGCUAGUUGGUGGGGUAACGGCUCACCAGGGCCACGAGGCAUAGCCGACCUGAGAGGGUGAUCGGCCACACUGGAACUGAGACACGGCCCAGACUCCGACGGCAGGCAGCAGUAGGGAAUAUUCGCCAAUGGACGAAAGUCUGAUCGAGCAACGCCGCGUGAGUGAAGAAGGUUUUCGGAUCGUAAAGCUCUGUUGUUAGGGAGGCGGUAUCUAACGAGAAAGCCACGGCUAACUACGUGCCAGCAGCCGCGGUAAUUC
rnacentral:rRNA from 1 species